UACAGAGACCUCAAGCGUUAUCCGGAAUCAUUGGGCGUAAAGCGUACCGAUAGGUGGUCUUGAAAGUCAGAUGUGAAAUGACGAAGCUUAACUUCGUUACUGUCAUUUGAAACUUCAGGACUAGAGGGGCAAAGGAGGAAGCUGGAACAAACGGUGUAGUAGUGAAAUGCGUUGAUAUCGUUUGGAACACCAAUAGCGUAGGCAGGCUUCUGGGUGCCACCUGACACUGCGUAGGACGAAAGCGUGGGGAGCGAAGUCGGG
rnacentral:rRNA from 1 species